rnacentral:rRNA from 1 species
ACCCGCUGAACUUAAGCAUAUCAAUAAGCGGAGGAAAAGAAACCAACAGGGAUUGCUCUAGUAACGGCGAGUGAAGCAGCAAUAGCUCAAAUUUGAAAUCUGGCGUCUUCGACGUCCGAGUUGUAAUUUGUAGAGGAUGCUUCUGAGUGGCCACCGACCUAAGUUCCUUGGAACAGGACGUCAUAGAGGGUGAGAAUCCCGUAUGCGGUCGGAAAGGCGCUCUAUACGUAGCUCCUUCGACGAGUCGAGUUGUUUGGGAAUGCAGCUCUAAAUGGGAGGUAAAUUUCUUCUAGAGCUAAAUAUUGGCCAGAGACCGAUAGCGCACAAGUAGAGUGAUCGAAAGAUGAAAAGCACUUUGGAAAGAGAGUUAAAAAGCACGUGAAAUUGUUAAAAGGGAAGGGAUUGCAACCAGACUUGCUCGCGGUGUUCCGCCGGUCUUCUGACCGGUCUACUCGCCGCGUUGCAGGCCAGCAUCGUCUGGUGCCGCUGGAUAAGACUUGAGGAAUGUAGCUCCCUCGGGAGUGUUAUAGCCUCUUGUGAUGCAGCGAGCGCCGGGCGAGGUCCGCGCUUCGGCUAGGAUGCUGGCGUAAUGGUCGUAAUCCGCCCGUCUUGAAACACGGACCAAGGAGUCUAACAUCUAUGCGAGUGUUCGGGUGUCAAACCCCUACGCGUAAUGAAAGUGAACGGAGGUGAGAACCGCAAGGUGCAUCAUCGACCGAUCCUGAUGUCUUCGGAUGGAUUUGAGUAAGAGCAUAGCUGUUGGGACCCGAAAGAUGGUGAACUAUGCCUGAAUAGGGUGAAGCCAGAGGAAACUCUGGUGGAGGCUCGCAGCGGUUCUGACGUGCAAAUCGAUCGUCAAAUUUGGGUAUAGGGGCGAAAGACUAAUCGAACCAUCUAGUAGCUGGUUCCUGCCGAAGUUUCCCU